AGUUCGAUUAUGACUCAGAUUGAACACUGGCGGAUGCUUUACACGCUGCAAGUCGAACGGCAGCACCUGGACUUCCGGUCUGGUGGCGAGUGGCGAACAGGUGAGUAAUGUAUCGGAACGUGCCUAGUAGCGGGGGAUAACUACGCGAAAGCGUAGCUAAUACCGCAUACGCCCUUCGAGGAAAGCGGGGGACCUUCGGGCCUCCCUGCUUACUAUUAGAGCAGCCGAUAUCGGAUUAGCUAGUUGGUGGAAUGUAACGGCUCACCAAGGCGACGAUCCGUAGCUGGUUUGAAGGGAUGUGACCAGCCACACUGGGACUGAGACACGGCCCAGACUCCUACAGGAGGCAGCAGUGGGGAAUUUGGACAAUGGGGAAACCUGAUCCAGCCAUCGCGUGCGAUGAAGGCCAUACGGUUGUAAACCUUUUGGGCGGGAAAAGAAACGGCGCAGGAUAAUACCCCGAUGCAACUGACAAUCACCUGUAGAAUAAGCACCGGCUAACUACGUGCCAGCAGCCGCGGUAAUACGUAGGGUGCAAGCGUUAAUCAGAUUACUGGGCGUAAAAAGCGUGCGCAGGCGGUUCGGAAAAGAAAGAUGUGAAAUCAGAGCUUAACUUUGGAACUGCAUUUUUAACUACCGAGCUAGAGUGUGUCAGAAGGGAGGUGGAAUUCCGCAGUGUAGCAGUGAAAUGCGUAGAUAUGCGGAGGAACACCAUUAGGCGAAGGCAGCCUCCUGGGAUAACACUGGCCGCUCCUUUUAAGCGUGGGGAGCAAACAGGAUUAGAUACCCUGGUAGUCCACGCCCUAAACGAUGUCAACUAGCUGUUGGGGCCUUCGGGCCUUGGUAGCGCAGCUAACGCGUCGAGUUGGCCGCCUGGGGAGUACGGUCGCAAGAUUAAAACUCAAAGGAAUUGACGGGGACCCGCACAAGCGGUGGAUGAUGUGAAUUAAUUCGGUGCAACGCGAAAAACCUUACCUAUUAGCAAACAUGUCUGGAAUCCCGAAGAGAUUUGGGAGUGCUCAUGAAACGGAACACAGGUGCUGCAUGGCUGUCGUCAGCUAGUCGUGAGAUGUUGGGUUAAGUCCGCAACAGGCGCAACCCUUGUCAUUAGUUGCUGCGAAAGGGCACUCUAAUGAGACUGCCGGUGACAAACCGGAGGAAGGUGAGGAUGACGUCAAGUCCUCAUGGCCCUUAUGGGUAGAGCUGCAUCGUACAAUGGUCGGGACAGAGGGUUGCUUCAACCCGCGAGAAGAGAGCCAAUCCAGAAACCCGAUCGUAGUCCGGAUCGCAGUCUGCAACUCGACUGCGUGCAGUCAGAAUCGCUAGUAAUCGCUUGGUCAGCAUGUCGCGGUGAAUACGUUCCCGGGUCUUGUACUCCGCCCGUCACACCAGCGGGCGGGUUUACCAGAAGUAGUUAGCCUAACCGUAAGGAGGGCGAUUACCACGGUAGGAUUCAUGACUGGGGUGAAGUCGUAACAAGGUAG
rnacentral:rRNA from 1 species